UUAAAUUAAAGAAAAUGUAAUAUAAACCAUUAUUUUUUACUUGUGAAAUGGAAUUAAAUCUAUAUGUAUAUUUAAAAAAGAAAAAAAGAGUUUAAUAUGAAUUGUACUAACAUGAUAACUAGCUAACUAGUUAAAUGCAUUAGGAUAAAGAUAAACAGAAAAAUAUAAUAAAUCCAUGAUAAUUUUGGAGUGGGUGGGGGUAAGUGAUAUGUGAUGAUAGUUUUUGAUUUUCUUUAGCAUAAUCCAGCUGUGUUGCCACCGCACACAGCUGUCAAGGUUUUCUUCAGCAAUCCUUUUCCUACUUUCUACUCAUACUUACUUCCUCUUCCUUCUCCACACACUUUUAUAUGCAUCCAAUUCCACAUAUCACCAUCUAUCUCACACAUUUUUUUUCCUCUUCGAAUCAUAAUUCUUACAAUAUCUUCCCCUCCCA
rnacentral:lncRNA from 1 species